AUGGAGAACCUGAUCUCGCUCGUCAACAAGCUGCAGCGCGCCUGCACGGCGCUCGGCGACCACGGCGAGGAGAGCGCCCUCCCCACCCUCUGGGACUCGCUGCCGUCCAUCGCCGUCGUCGGCGGCCAGAGUUCGGGCAAAUCUUCAGUGCUGGAGAGCGUUGUUGGGAAGGAUUUCCUGCCCAGGGGUUCAGGCAUUGUCACCCGUCGCCCGCUGGUUCUGCAACUCCAUAGGAUUGAUGGAGACAGGGAGUAUGCAGAGUUCAUGCAUGUCCCCAGGAAGAGAUUCACCGAUUUCGCCAUGGUGAGGAAGGAGAUAGCUGAUGAAACUGACAGACAAACCGGCCAUGGAAAGGGAAUAUCAUCUGUCCCCAUCCAUCUAAGCAUAUUUUCUCCAAACGUUGUGAAUUUGACUCUUAUUGAUCUUCCCGGGCUUACUAAAGUUGCUGUUGAGGGUCAGCCGGAGAGUAUUGUUCAGGAAAUUGAAAACAUGGUUCGAGCAUUCAUUGAAAAGCCCAACUGCAUCAUUCUGGCUGUUUCUCCAGCCAAUCAGGAUCUUGCGACUUCUGAUGCUAUCAAGAUUUCACGGGAAGUUGACCCAAAAGGUGAACGGACCUUUGGUGUGCUCACGAAAAUUGAUUUAAUGGACAAGGGUACUGAUGCUGUUGAUAUACUGGAAGGAAGAGCUUACCGGCUCCAAUUUCCAUGGAUUGGUGUUGUCAAUCGAUCCCAGCAAGAUAUUAACAAGAGUGUGGACAUGAUUGCUGCUAGGCGUAGAGAGCGUGACUAUUUUGCAAACACACCGGAAUACAAGCAUCUCGCUCAUAGGAUGGGAUCAGAACAUUUAGCAAAGAGUCUAUCAAAGCAUUUGGAGUCUGUUAUUAAAUCAAGAAUCCCUGGUCUCCAGUCUCUUAUAACGAAGACAGUUGCAGAGCUGGAAACUGAACUUACUCGUCUUGGAAAGCCCAUUGCUAAUGAUGCUGGAGGAAAGCUGUACACGAUUAUGGAAAUAUGCCGCAUGUUUGAUGGCAUCUACAAAGAGCAUCUGGAUGGAGUGCGCCCUGGUGGUGAGAAAAUUUACCAUGUCUUUGACAAUCAAUUUCCUGUGGCAAUUAAACGGUUGCAGUUUGAUAAGCAACUGUCAAUGGAAAAUGUGAGGAAGCUCAUAACGGAAGCUGAUGGAUACCAGCCUCACUUGAUAGCUCCAGAGCAAGGAUAUCGGCGCCUCAUAGAAUCUUGUCUUGUUAGUAUCAGAGGUCCUGCUGAGGCAGCUGUUGACACGGUCCAUGGAAUCCUAAAGGAACUAGUCCACAAGGCUAUAAAUGAAACUCAUGAGCUCAAGCAGUUCCCCACUCUUCGUGUGGAAGUUGGCAAUGCAGCUUUUGAGUCGUUGGAAAGAAUGAGGGAUGAAAGCAAGAAGAACACAUUAAAGCUAGUUGAUAUGGAAACAAGCUACUUAACUGUAGAUUUCUUCAGGAAGCUUCCUCAGGAUGUUGAGAAGGGUGGAAAUCCAAGCCACUCUAUUUUCGAUAGAUAUAAUGAUUCUUAUCUAAGACGAAUUGGGACAACUGUUCUGGCAUAUGUUAACAUGGUAUCUUCAACAUUGAGAAACUCCAUCCCAAAAUCUAUUGUGUACUGCCAAGUCCGUGAGGCAAAGCGCUCAUUGCUCGACCACUUCUUUACUGAGCUGGGAGCAAGAGAGAUUAGGCAACUUUCGAAGCUCCUCGACGAGGACCCCGCGGUCAUGGAGCGGAGGACAAACCUCGCCAAGAGGCUGGAGCUAUACCGGAGCGCCCAAGCAGAGAUCGACGCAGUUGCAUGGUCAAAAUAA
rnacentral:rRNA from 1 species